UACGUAGGGUGCGAGCGUUGUCCGGAAUUAUUGGGCGUAAAGAGCGUGUAGGCGGUUUGGUAGGUCCGUUGUGAAAACUCGAGGCUCAACCUCGAGACGCCGAUGGAAACCAUCAGACUAGAGUCCGGAAGAGGAGAGUGGAAUUCCUGGUGUAGCGGUGGAAUGCGCAGAUAUCAGGAGGAACACCAAUAGCGAAGGCAGCUCGCUGGGACGGUACUGACGCUAAGGCGCGAAAGCGUGGGGAGCAAACAGG
rnacentral:rRNA from 1 species